GGGGGGCAACUCCCUGAGUCGAGCGGCGGACGGGUGAGUAACACGUGGGUAACCUACCCGGAAGUGGGGAAUACCUCGGGGAAACUCGAGCUAAUACCGCAUGACAUCUUUGGGACGAAAGUCCUGACGAUCAAAGCGGGGUCGCAAGACCUCGCGCUACCGGAUGGGCCCGCGCCCGAUUAGCUAGUUGGUGAGGUAACGGCUCACCAAGGCGACGAUCGGUAACCGGCCUGAGAGGGCGAUCGGUCACACCGGAACUGAGACACGGUCCGGACUCCUACGGGAGGCAGCAGUGGGGAAUCUUGCGCAAUGGGCGAAAGCCUGACGCAGCAACGCCGCGUGGAGGAUGAAGGCCCUUGGGUUGUAAACUCCUGUCGGCUGGGAAGAAGUCGUUCGCGGUUAAUACCCGCGGACGUUGACUGUACCAGCAAAGGAAGCCCCGGCUAACUCUGUGCCAGCAGCCGCGGUAAUACAGAGGGGGCCAGCGUUAUUCGGAAUUAUUGGGCGUAAAGGGCGCGUAGGCGGCCAUGCGUGUCUUCCGUGAAAUCUCCCGGCUCAACCGGGAGAGGUCUCUGGAUACUGGCAGGCUUGAGGGCAGCAGAGGAGAGCCGAAUUCCCGGUGUAGCGGUGAUAUGCGUAGAUAUCGGGAGGAAUACCAGUGGCGAAGGCGGCUCUCUGGGCUGUCCCUGACGCUGAGGUGCGAAAGCGUGGGGAGCAAACCGGAUUAGAUACCCGGG
rnacentral:rRNA from 1 species